AACGAACGCUGGCGGUGCGUCUUAAGCAUGCAAGUCGAACGGCAAGAAAGUGCUUGCACUUUCCUAGAGUGGCGGACUGGUGAGUAACGCGUGGGUGAUCUACCUUUAAGUUGGGGAUAGCUUUUAGAAAUAAGAGAUAAUACCGAAUGUGCUUGUGAAACUUUGGUGUUGCAAGGAAAGGAGCGUUUGCUCCGCUUGAAGAUGGGCCUGCGUCCCAUUAGCUAGUUGGUGAGGUAAAAGCCCACCAAGGCGAUGAUGGGUAUCCGACCUGAGAGGGUGAUCGGACACAUUGGGACUGAGAUACGGCCCAAACUCCUACGGGGAGGCAGCAGCUGAGAAUCUUCCGCAAUGGACGAAAGUCUGACGGAGCGACACCGCGUGAAUGAUGAAGGCCGAAAGGUUGUAAAAUUCUUUUGCAGACAAAGAAUAAGUGCAGGAGGAAAUGCCUGCAUGAUGACGGUGGUUAUGCGAAUAAGCCCCGGCUAAUUACGUGCCAGCAGCCGCGGUAAUACGUAAGGGGCGAGCGUUGUUCAGAAUUAUUGGGCGUAAAGGGCAUGUAGGCGGUUGGGUAAGCCUGAUGUGAAAUCUACGAGCUUAACUCGUAAACUGCAUUGGGUACUGCUUAACUUGAAUCAUAGAGGGGAAACUGGAAUUCCAAGUGUAGGGGUGGAAUCUGUAGAUAUUUGGAAGAACACCGGUAGCGAAGGCGGGUGUCUAGCUAAUGAUUGACGCUGAUAUGCGAAGGUGCGGGGAGCAAACAGGAUUAGAUGCCCUGGUAGUCCGCACAGUAAACUAUGUACACUAGGUGUUGGGGUAGAACCCAGUGCUGAAAGCAAACGCAAUAAGUGUACCGCCUGGGGAGUAUGCCCGCAAGGGUGAAACUCAAAGGAAUUGACGGGGGCCCACACAAGCGGUGGAGCAUGUGGUUUAGUUCGAUGAUACGCGAGGAACCUUACCUGGGUUUGACACCCAGAGGGAUACUAUAGAGAUAUGGUAGCGUAGCCAUACGUCUCUGACAUGUGCUGCAUGCUGUCGUCAGCUGUGCUGUGAGUGUCGGUUAGUCCGCACGAGCGCACCCUCUGCAGUACUACAGUAUCUAGACCUGCGACGCGUAUACGAGAGUGG
rnacentral:rRNA from 1 species